UGUCUUUCUCUCUCUCGAUCGAAAAGAUAAAAAUAAAAUAAAAAAAGAAAAAGAGGAAAAGCUGUGGGAAGAAGAGAGAUUGUUGAAGAAGACGAGACGAUGGGAUUGGCCGGUGUCUGCAACUCCAUCACCGAUCCCAAAAGAAAUUGGGUGUCCCUGCUGAUUUGCUUUCUCUUAUUACUAGCUAAACCCCCCAGAUGGUGUCUGCUCAUUUAGAUGGGGAAACUAAUGUGAAGAUCAGAAAGGCAUCUGAAAAGACUUCGGAUUGUUGAACUCCAGAGAAAGUGUCUGAAUUUUGGUUGGCAAGGAGAGCAAGUUACCUUCAUGCAUGCCUAAUGUGUGCUCACUUUGCAAAGGAAUAGUUAUUACAGUUGGUCUUUGGCUUCCCUUUCUACACACCAGAAGACAUUUCAUGGAUGUUUAAAUAAGAAAAUGUGGCUUUUGAGGUAAGCAAGUGACUCCUUUUUGUAAGUCAGUGAAGGAAGCUACAGAGAAAGUCAUGAUUAUGUAGUUGCUGAAAAUCUAUGUACUAUAACAUUAACUAUCUGAAUUUUUUAUUUUUGUUGAACCACAUGAGCUAUGAUAGUCAUAUUAGUCUUUGCAUAGUAAUAUUAUCCAUUGUACUAAAGAAAUUGGGUUUUACAGCAUGUGAGAUGUGUUACGCAUAAAAUUGAUAGAAAAGAAGACAUAGAACUUCAGAAAAGAUAACAUAACAAGUUUGCUGUGUACAUAUGAUAUCUAAAAUUAUGUACCUUCUAAAAUGUAGCAGUAUGCUAGCUCAUAACCGGUUUCAAGUGAGUUUUGACCGUUAAUAAAGCUUUUGAGCAACUAAAAAGAUGGUCUAAAUAGAGACUUAACUUAAGCUUUGUGAGUUUAGAAGGUGAUUUGUCCAAAGUUUUACACUAUUUAAAAAAUCCUAAUGAAAAGCUUCUUAGGCAUAAUACAAUUAUUAUGGUUUCCAUUUGAAAUGCUGGACAUAAUGGAACUACCCGGGUUGCAUUCAGUAAUUGUAAUAGAACCUUGCUUAACUUGUUUUCUUCAAUUCUUUCCUUGCCUUGUGUUUAAUGGAAAACAAGUGGCAAUUUUUCACAGUUUUAAUUGCUUUAGUCUAGGACAUUCUGUGCUGGCCUUUCUUCAUGUUUUGAUUGCUUUAGUGUAGGAGACUCUGUGCUGGCCCAACUAGAUGAUGAUCUCUUGGCCGAGAAAAGGAAAACCUAUAAAAACUUUUCUAAUUGCUUGCCAUCACUGUUUGAAGUUACUAAAAUUGUAACUAAUAUUUGAACUUCCUUUUUGUUCUUUCCUCUAGAUUUUUUUACAAUUUCAUACAAAAAUAUUAAGUCAAAAGAACAAGACAAAGAAAAAACAAGAUGCAGAAAAGUAAAAAACUCGUUCAUACGGAUUAAAGGCAUCCAUGCAUUUCCAUCUUAUUCAUUCAUUUUUAGAUCCCUUUACAAUGAAAUUUCAACAAGUAGUAAAUAUAGCUAAAAGAUCAAUCAAAAGAAACACAAUCUUGACAAGUAAAACGACAAAAAAAAGAAAAAAAAAGAAAAGAAAAAAACUAUCUUCACUGUUGAUGCCCUUUAUUCCUCUUCUGCAUGGUUCUAUGUUUCAACCAUAAAUAUAGUAUUCUUUUUAGAAUUUCAUCCACAGCACCAAAAUAGCUCCAGGAUUUCCUCAUAGCCAAUAUCAGAGAAGGAACCAGAAUUCCUACUGCAAAUCCCAAUCCAAUGCUCCAAUAAAACCACUUAUCAACAAACUGUCACCAUCCUUGGGAGUAGUCCAACCCUUAUCUGAAUCUUCUUCAUCAUCUCCUGGACAUUUUACAGCAAGUGGACUCUCACAAAAGUCAAGGUUUCUAGUAAAAGAGGGUGAAUCAAAAGUUGACAGAUGAUCUAAAUAAGGAAUCCUUCCAUAUAAGUUAUUGUCUGACAAAUUCAUAUACCCCGAAAAUGAGAGCAAUCCCAAACUUUACAGAAUAGUAGCUGAAAACUCGUUGCUUGAGAGAUCAGGCGACAACAAUUGCUUCAACUUUGAAAUGCUCUCAGGAAUGUGUCCACUUAUAUGGUUUCUGGACAAGUUCAAGACCACCAAGCCCAACAAUUUUGUUAUCUCAAUAGGAAGAUCUCCACUCAAAUUAUUUCUUGAGAGGUCUAGGCUGGUUAGAAAGGAAAGGGUCUUGGUGUACGUUCGAAGCUAUCCUUUCAAAUUCACAGUAAAGUUUUCUUUGAAGCAGCCCUUCCAUACAAGAGAUAAUGGUCAAAUGCCCCGUAAAAUAGAUAAUGUGGUUAAUGUUUUGGACUUGUGACAUAGCUUUGAAAUCUCCAAAGCUAGCAAGAAUACUACAAUUCAACUGAUUCUCUGCCAGGUCCAAGACUUGUAAUGAGCUUAAAUUUGAUAGCACUUGUAACAUCCCGUCCCAAAGUACAACGGAAAUUUUACAACUUUGACAGAGGUUGACCGUUGACUUUGACCGUUGAUCGUUGACCGUUGAUCGUUGACCGAAGGGAUCAAAAGUUGACUUUUUGACUCGGAUGGAAUUCUAGGUUGACUAAGGUACCGUUACGAAGUACACAUUGGCACGAGUUCGUAGACUAGUAGCACUUUGAAAACGGAGCUACGGUUUGAAAGUUAUGAGCA